rnacentral:rRNA from 1 species
AGGAUUAACGCUGGCGGCGUGCCUAACACAUGCAAGUCGAACGAGGUAGCAAUACCUAGUGGCAGACGGGUGAGUAACACGUGGUCAACCUACCCUCAAGUGGGGGAUAACUAGCCGAAAGGUUAGCUAAUACCGCAUGAAACGUGCCGGGGCAUCCCGGAACGUUAAAAGGAGCAAUCCGCUCGAGGACGGGACCGCGCCCGAUUAGCUAGUUGGUGGGGUAAUGGCCUACCAAGGCUCCGAUCGGUAGCUGGUUUGAGAGAGCGACCAGCCACACUGGGACUGAGAAACGGCCCAGACUCCUACGGGAGGCAGCAGUGAGGAAUUUUCGCAAUGGGCGAAAGCCUGACGGAGCGACGCCGUGUGUGGGAUGAAGGCCUUCGGGGUCGUAAACCGACUGUCGAAGGGGAAUAUACUGAAGGUACCCUUGGAGGAAGCCCCGGCUAACUACGUGCCAGCAGCCGC